AGUGAACGCUGGCGGUAGGCCUAACACAUGCAAGUCGAACGGCAGCACAGUAAGAGCUUGCUCUUACGGGUGGCGAGUGGCGGACGGGUGAGGAAUACAUCGGAAUCUACUUUUUCGUGGGGGGUAACGUAGGGAAACUUACGCUAAUACCGCAUACGACCUACGGGUGAAAGCAGGGGAUCUUCGGACCUUGCGCGAUUGAAUGAGCCGAUGUCGGAUUAGCUAGUUGGCGGGGUAAAGGCCCACCAAGGCGACGAUCCGUAGCUGGUCUGAGAGGAUGAUCAGCCACAAUGGAACUGAGACACGGUCCAGACUCCUACGGGAGGCAGCAGUGGGGAAUAUUGGACAAUGGGCGCAAGCCUGAUCCAGCCAUACCGCGUGGGUGAAGAAGGCCUUCGGGUUGUAAAGCCCUUUUGUUGGGAAAGAAAAGCAGCAGGUUAAUACCCCGCUGUUCUGACGGUACCCAAAGAAUAAGCACCGGCUAACUUCGUG
rnacentral:rRNA from 1 species